UGGGUCCUCACGAUGCAAGCAGACUGCAUCC
rnacentral:piRNA from 1 species